rnacentral:rRNA from 1 species
UACGUAGGGACCAAGCGUUGUUCGGAUUUACUGGGCGUAAAGGGCGCGUAGGCGGCUUAACAAGUCACUUGUGAAAUCUCCGGGCUUAACCCGGAGCGGUCAAGUGAUACUGUCGGACUAGAGUACAGAAGGGGCAACUGGAAUUCUCGGUGUAGCGGUGAAAUGCGUAGAUAUCGAGAGGAACACCUGCGGCGAAGGCGGGUUGCUGGGCUGAUACUGACGCUGAGGCGCGAAAGCCAGGGGAGCGAACGGG